ACUCGGCCCCCCACGGCCGGACCCACAAGGGUGGCGCGCGAACCCCGCGGGCGGAGGGGACCCCGCCUCCGGGCCGGCAGGGCGCAGGGCGAGGGGGAGCGCACCCCGACUUCCCUGGAUCACAUGGGCUGCGGGGGGCGGGUGGAUCGGGGGAGGGGAGGCGCGGGGAGCUUGCUGCGGCUCCUCACCCGGACCUGGGAGAAGACGCCCCCCACCCUCUCUAGUUCGCCCUCUCCAUUCAAGUUUGCCGGCCCCUGCCGCCGAGAUCCGGGAAUGGCACCAGCCGCCCGCCCUCCGCUGUGCCCUGUUUCCAGCCACCGCUCAGAAAUUUAGGUCAAGGACGUCGGGAGCAAACCCACACCCUGGCGCUCCUUUGGCGGCCCCCGAGACGCCCCAGGAUCGGGGGGCUUCAGGAUGGCGGAGACCCUCCUGCACAAACACCAGCCACAAGUUUUAUUUUCCUUUUGCGCUGGAAGUUCUCUCUGGCUCUGGCUCCACACCGGCACGUCUUGCGCGGUUCCCCGCCCUUCCCCAGUAGAGGUACCAAUCCGUGCCCGGGAAAGGUUAUUUUGGAACUUUGAGAAACUGACGCGAUUCCAGUGGCGAGAAAGUGCCGAAGAAAGGGUUUCCGCGUUAAUCAUACAGUGUUUUAAAAAUGAUUAGGAGACAAAGGAAUACACUCAACACCAAAACUGAACCAAAUCCACUGUGGGCUUUGGAAAAAUGGAAUAUUGGGAAAAUCUCAACACCAGCCAUAGCCUUGAGUGACCAGACCCUCAGUCUCCCUGUUCCCUAAAUUGCAGUAAUUCCUCCUUGACAGGAUUGAUGUGGUGAAGCUCACUCAAUGUAGCCCCUGCAUCAGGAGAAUUCAAGCAGCACAAUAUCAGUCCUCAACCCUCUGAAAGUCUCAACAGCCCAAGACAAUGUUGGACACUUCCUUCUUCAAACUCAAUCUUCCAGGAUGGGUUUAAACACAUGGUGAUGCCACUCAAAUUGAAAUCUCCAGCCCCACCCUUCCUGAAGAGCUCCAGGCUCUGGUCAAUUUCCUAUUCAACAUCUCCACUUAGCCUUUCUAAAGGAAGCCCAAGUUCAAAUCCAUCUUUCUUGCUGCUGCAUCCCAGAUCUCCCACCUGAGGCCCUGCAACAGCUUACAAAACAGUCUUCCCACAUACACCCUUACUCCACUUACAUGCCUGGAAAUCUUUCCCAGACCUCUCUGACAGGGUCGAAUGCCCUUUGAUAUGCAGUUACCUUACCAGAACGUCCUCUGUGUACCUUACCCUGUAUGAUCAUUUGCUUUAUUGCCCAUCUCCUCUAAGCCAGAAGCUCCCGUGCCUUUCUGCUCUCCAUGUACUAGCACAGUGCCUGCUGGCGCACGGUUGACGCUCAAUAAAUAAUGAUUGACUGAAUGAGUGAGUGGAUGAAUGAAUGAAUGAUGGCCAACAUUUAAUUUCAUUCUAGGAUUCUUUUUGUAUUCAUGUUCAUAAGUCAAAUUGGCUGCAGUUUUUCCUUUUCUUACUGCCUUUGUCUGGUUAUACUGGUCUCAUAAAAUGAACCGGUAAAUGUUCCUUCUUUUUUCAUUUUCUGGAACAGUGUGUGUAAGAUUGGAAUUAUGUGUUCCUUGAAUGUUUGGUAGUUUUGCAGGUAAAUUGUCUGGGUCUGGGAUAGACAUUUCGUGGGUUGAUUUUUAACUACUGAUUCCAUUUCUUUAAUGCUCGUAGAUCUCUUCAGGUUUUCUGUUUUCUUCUUGAAUCUAUUUUUAUACACUAUGUUUUUCAAGGAAAUUAUCCAUACCAUCUAGGUUUUCAAAUGUGUUGACAAAAUGCUGUUCAUAGUUAUCUCUUAAUGUAUUUUAAUCUCUGCUCUAUCUAUCCAUAAUGUUUUUUUUUCAUUCUAAAUAUCAUUUUAUAUGUAUUUUUUCUUAUCUGGAUCAGCUGUGCCAGAGAUCUUUUUUUUUUACUAAUGUUUUCUUUCUACUUUCUAUUAGUGUUUCCAAAGAACCAGACUUUAGUUUCAAUAUUGUUUCUUUUUCUGUUCCAGUAAGUUUUGUUCUUAUAUAUUAUUAUAUAUUAUAUUGUUAUAUAUGGCACAAUAGAAAAUAUAUACUAUUAUAUAGUUUGUGAGAAUAUAAUAUGUAAUGUAAUAUUAAUAUAUAUCAUAUAGUAUUCCCUUCUGCUUCUGCUCUUUUUGGAUUUAUUCUGUUGCUCUUUUUUUUUUUUUUUGAAUUGUUGCCUUAGGUAAUUAAUUUUUAGCCAUCUGUUUUCUGAUUUUAACAUUUAAGACUACAGAUUUCACUUUAAGUACCACUCAAGCUAUAUUCCACAAGAUAUAUAGACUUUUUAUCACCAAUGAGGUAAAAAAAGUUUAGAUUUUAGGCUGGACACAAUGGCUUAUGCCUGUAAUCCCAGCACUUUGGGAGGCCAAGGUGGGAGGAUCACUUGAGCCCAGGAGUUUGAGACCAGCCUGGGCAACAUAGUGAGGCCCCAUCUCUGCAAAAGAAAACUUUUCUAGAAACUAGCCAGGUGUGCUAACAUGCACCUAUAGGCCCAGCUACUCAGGAGACUGAGGUGGGAGGAUCACUUGAGCCUGGGAAGUUGAGACUGUAGCGAGCCAUGAUCAUGUCACUACUCCAGCCUGGGUGACAGAGCGAGAUCCUGUUUAAAAAAAAAAAAAAAUUAGAUUUCAGAUACGAUUUCUUGUUUGACUAGUGAAUUAAUACAGGUGUAUUUGAGGGGUAUUUGAGGUUAUUCUUUAGUUACUAACGUCUAACUUAACUGAAUUAAGGUCAAAGAAUGUGAUCUAUAUGAAGCAGAUUCUUUGUUAUUUAUUGAAACUUGCUUUGGUGCAGUCAAUUUUUAUAAAUAUUUCAUGUAGAUUUGAAAAGAAUGUAUAUGCCUUAAUUUUUAAGUACAGCAUUUUAUAUGGGUCUAUUAGAUCAGACUUAUUAAUUAUAUUGUCUAGAUUUCCUGUAGCCUUACUAAUAUUUUGUCAGCUUGACCUGUUGGUUUUUAUAGAAGUACAUUAAAAUUUCUAUAUGACUAGAUUUGCCAGUUUCUCCUGUAAUUCUCUCAAAUUUUGCUGUAUUUUAAAAGUAUGUUGUCAGGUGCAUCAAAAAGAACUGUUAAAAUUUCCCACUGUAACUAUACAUUUUCUGCUUCUCAUACUUUUUGCUUUGUGUAUUUUAAGGCCUUGUUAUUCAGUGCAUACGAGCUUAGAUUUGCUAUUUUCCUAGGAAUUAUUCCUUUAAUAUUGGCACAGAAGAUACUUAUCCCUAAUGCCUUUUGCUUUAAAGUCUACUUUGUCUGUAAUAAAUGUAACUACUCUUUUAAUUAGCCCUUCACUUAUAGAUCUUUCUCUUUCCCUCUUUCCUUUUACUUUGAACCUUUCCAUGUCCCAAAUUUUUUGUUCAGUCUCCUGUAAAUAGCAUAUAGUUAGCUCUGGUUCAUUAUUGUGCUAACUAGUAAGUUUAGUCCAUUUACAUUUAUUGUGAUUGCUGAUAUUUUUAAAGAUCACAAAAUAUCACAAUUUAGGGGCACAAAAAUAUAUUAGUCACAAUCUCUAGUAUAACACACUAUCAUCAUUGUGUAUACUCAUGGCCCUAUUUUAUUUUAUUUGCUGAUAUCAUGAAUACCUGUAAACCUGCUAUUCAACCAGAGAACUAAAACAGAAACAAUGACUUGACUUAUGUAACAUCUGCUUAUGUGUUCCUCCCUAUUUUGUUCCUCUAAAGUAACCACCAGUCUGAAUCUUGUAUUUGUUAUGAUUUUUCGCUUUUUAAAAAGUUUUAUCAUGCAUAUCAAUGAC
rnacentral:lncRNA from 1 species